AGCAGCCGCGGUAAUUCCAGCUCCAAUAGCGUAUAUUAAAGUUGUUGCAGUUAAAAAGCUCGUAGUUGAAUUUCGGGGUUCUUCCGUUGGUCGGGCUAGCCAGUCUGUACUAGCGUGUAGAAUUCCUACCUUCUGGGAACCAUCAUGUUAUUAAUUUAGCGUGGUGGGAAACCAGGACCUUUACCUUGAAAAAAUUAGAGUGUUCAAAGCAGGCUUACGUCUGAAUACAUUAGCAUGGAAUAAUAGAAUAGGACGGUGGUCCUGUUUUGUUGGUUUCUGAAUCACCGUAAUGAUUAAUAGGGAUAGUUGGGGGCAUUAGUAUUCAAUUGUCAGAGGUGAAAUUCUUGGAUUUAUUGAAGACUAACUUCUGCGAAAGCAUUUGCCAAGGAUGUUUUCAUUAAUCAAGAACGAAAGUUAGGGGAUCGAAGACGAUCAGAUACCGUCGUAGUCUUAACCAUAAACUAUGCCGACUAGGGAUCGGACGAUGUUAAAUUUAUUGACUCGUUCGGCGCCUUACGGG
rnacentral:rRNA from 1 species